AGCAGCCGCGGUAAUUCCAGCUCCAAUAGCGUAUAUUAAAGUUGUUGCAGUUAAAAAGCUCGUAGUUGAAUUUCGGGAUUGACGUGAUGGUCGUGCCUUAAGGGGUAUGAACUGUUGCUGUUGAUUUCUCACCUUCUGGAGAAACUUGAUGUCCUUAAUUGGGUGUCUUGCGGAUCCAGGACCUUUACCUUGAAAAAAUUAGAGUGUUUAAAGCAGGCAUUUUGCUCGAAUACAUUAGCAUGGAAUAAUAGAAUAGGACGGCAUGGUUCUAUUUUGUUGGUUUCUAGGAUCACCGUAAUGAUUAAUAGGGAUAGUUGGGGGCAUUAGUAUUCAAUUGUCAGAGGUGAAAUUCUUGGAUUUAUUGAAGACUAACUACUGCGAAAGCAUUUGCCAAGGAUGUUUUCAUUAAUCAAGAACGAAAGUUAGGGGAUCGAAGACGAUCAGAUACUGUCGUAGUCUUAACCAUAAACUAUGCC
rnacentral:rRNA from 1 species